GGGAUUGUGGCUCAGUGGUAGAGUGCUUGCCUCACAUGUGUGAGGCACUGGGUUCAAUUCUCAGCACCG
rnacentral:tRNA from 1 species